UACGUAGGGAGCAAGCGUUGUCCGGAAUCAUUGGGCGUAAAGCGCGCGUAGGUGGCUUCGUAAGUCCGUUGUGAAAGUCAAAGGCUCAACCUUUGAAAGCCGAUGGAUACUGCGGAGCUAGAGUACGGAAGAGGCGAGUGGAAUUCCUGGUGUAGCGGUGGAAUGCGCAGAUAUCAAGGAGGAACACCAAUAGCGAAGGCAGCUCGCUGGGACGUACUGACACUGAGGCGCGAAAGCGUGGGGAGCGAACAGGAUUAGACU
rnacentral:rRNA from 1 species